GGCCUGACACCGCAAGAAAGUUGAGAAUGGGUCAAAGUAUUCGAAAUAGCCUAUCUAUGAAUAUAAGUUAAUUUUAUUGAUCAUAUCUAGUAAGCCUACUAAAAAAAAACUAUAUCCAUGACUAAAAAAAACUUGUAAUUUUAAAAGAUGAUUAAUCCACCUAAAAGGGCUAGUACAACCGAAAAAAUUAUUGAAAUUUGAUAAAAUAACGGUUGUAUGUUGUAUCGCCAUUUUUAGCCACCAUAAUCAUCCUCAUUUAAAGUUUCAACCUCCAUGAGAGGAGGGGGGGAUUACAAUGAGGGAGGGACGCAUUAAAAGAUUACAUGAGAAAUGUCUAACCAAACCAAAAUUCGACGUUCAUUCACUUUCCGACAUUGUACUAUGUUACCGGUUUUAUAGCCCCUGUAUUUCCUAAAUCCCUCUACUGUCUGGUAGUUUCAGGAUAUUUCCUUAAAAUUUCAAAAAUGAGUGGAGAAGAAGAACGUUUUUAAGUCUAUUUUGUGAGCUUACGAUAUUGCAGUACACUAAACGUUAGAUGAUGAUUAGAGCAGCUGUCCAUGUCCAUGUUUAUUGUUAUAAAUUAUUUUAGGCGCUAAACGUACGAACACACUCGCUUGACACUUCUGCGACAUAUUUUCUAAAAAAAGCGUGCUUUUAUGAAGAUACGGUAAACAUGGCACCACUCUAACAUCAAAUGGGGACUGAAUAACAAGUUGAAUUUUUAGUUAAGGUUAUGUGCACUCGAUAACUUGCUUGACCCAAUCUCACCCCCAUUUUUAAUAUUUUAAACAUAGGGUCGAAAAUAUUGAGUUUUUAUAUAAAAAGUGCAUUGACAGCCAACUUUUUUCGUUGCAUCAACCAGGUAAUACCUGCAGCUAACUACUUAUAAGAAAAUUUAUGGAUAGGUGCUUGUAUGAAACAUUGCGAAGAAGAAAUUUUUUCAGAGUGAUUUACUAGUAGUUUCAUCAUAUAAGUUUAGCCACAGUUUGAUCAAAAAACGAUUAUUGCUAAGCAUCUUUUUCUGCAUCAUGACGUGUAAAAACAUCUCCUCUUUAAAAUAAUAUAAAGUUUUCACUAUAAAUUAGCCAGAGUUGAUGAGCUAUUUCAAAUUUUAUGUUUCUCCGUUUUGACCCAAUCUCACCCCCCAGACCUAUUGUCACCCCCAUCGACGGUACGUAUUACUAAUAUGGUAUUAUGUGGUACAGUAAAGGGUCAUGUUCCAUGAAGUUCUGUUAUGAAGUCUUAUUUCUACGGAACUCUGGACGACUGGACCGAUUCAUUAGCUUUGCACUGCUUUACAUAUUGAUAGAAUAGUGCAUUAGAACAUUGAGCCGAAUGGGGAUCUGAACGGGCGUUCUUGAGCAGUGAAAAGCUCUGACACGCAAGUUCAAUGUUUACUGCGUUCACGUUCAAAAAAUUGAACGCGUUCAGUCCAUUUUUGGCUCGCGUUCAGUUCAAAUGCAACACUGGUUCUGGGCUCUUCCAAAGUUGAUGAAAGGAUUUAUAAAUGCUUGCAAGGGCUUGGCCAGGUGUGUGGAGCUGAGUGGAUCUAUGACAUUGUAGAUAGUAGCGACAUCAGCAAUGUCUAUGGAUACAUUCUACUUUGCAACUCCAUCCAAGAUUUAUGCAAGUAUUAAUGCUAUGCUAUGCCAUACUCUGCUAUAUAAAAGGAUACAUUAGUAAGUUCAAGAGUGUUUUGUAUCUCACUGCAAUAUUGAAGUUGCAUGUGCUUUCAGUGCAGCUUAAGCAUAUAAAGCCAUAUUUUGGAUAUUGUUGCAGGUGCUGCUUGGGUACUUCGCCACCCUUAGAGAUGGCUCACUACCUACAAUACAAUUUUGUUUGAAGACAUGACUCCAAACUAUUCCAGUAUUGUCAAUUUCUUGAUUUUGCUUUGGCUGACCAAGCCAUGUGGGAAAUUACACUGUUGAAAAUGCUUUGACAUCCAUGUGCACAACAGAACAUGUGCUCGAUGAACAAAUUGAGAUUUGAAAUUAUGAAAAGAAAUCCACGUACUCCGGUGAGACUCGAACUCACGACUCCCAAUUCGCUAGACGGGCGCUUCUAUUCCUUCAAGCUACGGAGUCACUCGACUAUCUCCGUCGCCAGCAGGCCUAGAACUGAACUCGAUUCCACAAUCGCACAUGGUUAUCUUCUUUUCACAAUCCAAACCCCCUUCGGAUGGGAUUAGAUGAACAUCUAACACAUUGUCUGUUGUGCACAUGUAUGUCAAAGCGGGAGAGGAAGUUAUUUUUAAUUGUCGAGAGCUUCGGGCACUGCCUUCCAAUCACUUAUUGGUAUGGCAAUUAGUGUGCAUUCGAGUCUCACCGGAGUACGUGGAUUUCUUUUCAUAAUUUCAAAUCUCAAUUUGUUCAUCGAGCACAUGUUCUGUUGUGCACAUGGAUGUCAAAGCAUUUUCAAUA